rnacentral:lncRNA from 1 species
GAUGCGUGCUGUGAUGAGAAAUUCCGAAGCACACAUUAGAAGCAAUGAUGGUUAUCAGCCUAGCAGAGGCUGAUGGGCUUCCUCGGAUCCUGCCAUGGCACCAAAGGAAUGCGAGAAAAUGAUUGGCUGGGGAGCUCUUCCAAUUGUCAGGAACGCUGGAAAAAGGCUGAAAGAGAAUGAUGAGAAAAAACCUGGAGAAUGGCAAAUGCUUCACUGAAGCAAUCUGCUACAUUCCUCCUUGCAGAGUGGGAUGCCUGGCCUGAGAUGAGAGAAGUAACAGGUCUGAGAGGAAGUGAAAGAAAUAGAACCCGAGGAGAGCAGGACAGAAAGAAAAGAUUUAUAGCAUGGAUUGUAGCCACUCUAAUAUUUGGGCUCCUCCUGAACUUAAUCCAACUUCCACGUUACUGAAAAUUUAUUAUUUCCCUUAUAGAUUUGGACUGUGAGUCCAAUUCCUGUUUCUCCUGCUUUUGUCAGACCAAGUAAA